GUUAAACUCUUGGAACUCAGUUUGGUUGAUACUCAAGCCUCAAGGAUAAACACCAAUGAAAGCAGCAUAACAUGAUAUUAUGCUCUCCAGUAGCUCCUGCUCACCUCAAAUCCUGUAGAAAGCUGAGAAUGUUCUUGGAUUACUGAUCCUCUUGCUUCUAACAGUGAACACUGAUACCACAGGCAUGUACCACCAUCCUAAUCUUCAAUGAUGUUAUUUUAAACAUGGGAACCCUAAAACCUGACUCAGCAUUGCCCACAUUCCUGUGUUGAAACCUAACCUCCAAGAUAUGUGAAGCAUGGAUUUUCAUUUGAAGCUCAUUGUCAAGACAGAAUAGAAUACAGUUGGUGUCUAUAGUCAUCUUUAUGUGGCAAAAUGGCUUGGAUCUCAGUAUUCAGCCUCUUCAUUUAGAAAUUGUUUUCACUGGACUAAAUAAAUAUACUUAUAGAAAACAUCAUAGAAUGGACACUCUUAGUCACCAUAAAUAUAUAUUUCAAUGGAACCAGUAUAUAUAUGUACAUUGAUUACCACUAUCCAUCUCCAAAACGUUGACAUUAUCUGCACUGAAACUCUAUUAUUUAUCGGCUUGUUUUUCAUAGCAUGAUGACCACAAAAAUCCCUCAUGUGAAAGCAUAUAACAGGAACUUGAUCUUUAUUUAAGGCUGAAUAAAGUAAUAGAGAAAAGAGAAAGGGACACAGGCUAAUUGCUAUCUCUGAGCAAGAACUUACUUGAAUCUGUGCUGUGGAUAUCGCUCUAUAUAAAUAAAGCACCAAUUGGCCAAUGAACAGGCAGGAAGUAUAGGCGGGACAAAGAGAGAAGAG